GUAUUAGGUUGGUGCAAAAGUAGUUUCAGUUUUGCAAUCACUUCCAAUGGCAAAAACUGCAAUCACUUUUGCACCAACC
rnacentral:miRNA from 1 species